rnacentral:rRNA from 1 species
AUUGAACGCUGGCGGCAGGCCUAACACAUGCAAGUCGAACGAGUGGCGGACGGGUGAGUAAUGUCUGGGAAACUGCCUGAUGGAGGGGGAUAACUACUGGAAACGGUCGCUAAUACCGCAUACCAUCGGAUUAGCCCAGAUGGGAUUAGCUAGUAGGGGGGGUAACGGCUCACCUAGGCGACGAUCCCUAGCUGGUCUGAGAGGAAGACCGGACACAAGGGAACUAGGACACGGUCAAGACUCCUACGGGAGGCAGCAGUGGGAAAUAUUGGACAAGGGGCGCAAGCCUGAUGCAGCCAUGCCGCGUGUAGGAAGAAGGCAUUCGGGUUGUAAAGUACUUUCAGCGGGGAGGCGUUACCCGAAGAAGAAGCACCGGCUAACUCCGUGCCAGCAGCCGCGGUAAUAC